rnacentral:rRNA from 1 species
GACGAACGCUGGCGGCGUGCUUAACACAUGCAAGUCGAGCGGUAAGGCCCUUUCGGGGGUACACGAGCGGCGAACGGGUGAGUAACACGUGGGUGACCUGCCCUUAGCUCUGGGAUAAGCCUGGGAAACUGGGUCUAAUACCGGAUAUGACUCCAUGACGCAUGUUGUGGGGUGGAAAGCCUUGUGCGGCUAGGGAUGGGCCCGCGGCCUAUCAGCUUGUUGGUGGGGUNAUGGCCACCAAGGCGACGACGGGUAGCCGGCCUGAGAGGGCGACCGGCCACACUGGGACUGAGACACGGCCCAGACUCCUACGGGAGGCAGCAGUGGGGAAUCUUGCGCAAUGGGCGAAAGCCUG